rnacentral:rRNA from 1 species
AUUGAACGCUGGCGGCAGGCCUAACACAUGCAAGUCGAACGAGUGGCGGACGGGUGAGUAAUGUCUGGGAAACUGCCUGAUGGAGGGGGAUAACUACUGGAAACGGUAGCUAAUACCGCAUACCAUCGGAUGUGCCCAGAGGGGAUUAGCUAGUAGGUGGGGUAAAGGCUCACCUAGGCGACGAUCCCUAGCUGGUCUGAGAGGAUGACCAGCCACCAUGGAAUUGAGAAACGGUCCAGACUCCGCCGGGAGGCAGCAUUGGUGAAUAUUGCACAAUGGGCGCAAGCCUGAUGCAGCCAUGCCGCGUGUAUGAAGAAGGCCUUCGGGUUGUAAAGUACUUUCAUCUGGGAUGCGUUACCCGAAGAAGAAGCACCGGCUAACUCCGUGCCAGCAGCCGCGGUAAUUC